GUUGACAUAUUCGUUCAGUAGAGAAAUCAAGGCCAUGGAGGGGACCAAAAUGUUUCUCGGAACUUCGGUAGUGAAUGCGCACCAGAUAAUCGGAUCGAUUCGAGGAUUCGAGGAAUUGGUGGCAUGAUCCCGCGGGAAACAGUGACAAGAAACUCGAACGCAGUCACAGACUCAUGACUGGAUGUUUAAAGGCGAUUAGACCCAAUGCAAAUCGGUUCUGGGAACAGCGAUCGUUCUGUAUAUUGUAUUCUAGGCUUGCGUAAGACGAAUAUAGUGUAUACAUGUGCAUCUGACUCAUUGGCAAAUAAAAUCGCGAGCAUGUUCCACACAAUUUAAUAAAAUCGACUGUUCUGCAUAAUAUCCGAUAUUCGAUGUGCAAAACACGACUGAUAACAUAAAUUUGCAUUAAUUGAAAAUACAAUUGAAAUUUAUAACGAACCUACAAAUUGAAAAUGAAUGAUAAUAACAGUUAAUCUAUGUUAUUUGAACACCUAAGAAAAGAGGAUAUGAUAAAAUGGUAAUGUGAAACAUCUGGAACGAUUUCGAUCAUUUGCUGUGAAAACAUGGAUAACGCGUGUAUAAGGAACUUGUUAACUGAUCGAUAAACAUGUUUAAUUAAAUAGUAUUUAGUCAAAGUCUGAUUCAUCAUGGAACUUUCACAGUGAGUUCACGAAAACAUCGAAGCAAACAAAUAAUAUUAUCAUCUUAGAAACUCUACUUGCAUUAUAGAACAUAGAAACUGUAGUUUUUCUAGAACCGCAAGUGUUACGUUAACCUUGGUAUUUGAUUUAUAAUCUACAUAUCCAGAAAGAAAAAAGAAGCUAUUCUGUUUAAAAUCAAAGAUAUAAGAGUAGUAAGUUAUGAGAUUUAAAAGGAAUACUGAUUGAAUAUUCUUGUAGAUGGUAGUUAAUUUAUUUUACAUAUAUUUGAUAUAGCAUAUGAACAAAGAGUUUAAAUUAAUAAUGAUCUAUAAAUCAUUGAUAAAUAGAGGCUGUUAAAAAAGAAGAUCUUUCUUCUUUGUCUUGCAGAUGCAAGUAUCAGUUAAAGGUCAUUGGGACAAUACAGAUUAUUCUGCAAUAUUUUAUUUUCUGCAGACACUUCUGCAUUAUCAUAAAUACUAUACAUUCUAAAUAAAAAUUUAUUUUUAUGUAACCCAAAGAGCUCAACACAAUAAUAUGUAUUAUCUUUUAAAGAAAAAACUUUAUAUGUUUUUGAGAUAUUCUUUAUGAAAAAGAAUCGCUUUCAUAUUAUUCAAAUAUUAGGUCAUGAAGUAUCAAGUGUUAAAAGGAAAAUACAAAAAGUUUUUCAAUCUUUUAUUAUGAAAAAACUCUUAUGUACAUAUGGAUCACUUUUCUCUGUGUCAGUGUAUAAGUAGAUAUCUACGGUCAUAACAAAUAUUAAUCUAUAUCUUUAAUAAAUUCCUUAAAGUAGUUCCUUUCACUCUGUUAAGUCUUGAUUGUUAGCGCCAGAACGACGACUGAUAGGCAAUAAAUAAAUCACGUGUACCCUUGUACCGAUCGUAUUGCACGGUUUCAAUAAGAACAGUCGGCUGAUUGAAUUGCUGAAUUCUAUUUAAAAAAUGUCCAACGAGACGGCUUAAGUAAUAAGUGCAUUUAAGUCACAACUCCACCUUGGCGGAUUGUUGAAAGAAAUCAUGGACUCUUUCACUGGCAGAAUAUUUCAUCUUUUAAGCUUCUUACUAAUUGCUCAUGUUCCACGAAAAUCUGAUAAUCGAAUGAUUGAUAUACUACUUUAGAAAGGAACAAAUAGGAAGUAUUCUCUUGGAAUUCCAUAAGUAUGUAAAAACAUUUAACACUCUAAGUUGUUAAUUAGUUACCUACAUCCUACAUACUUAAACACAUGAUACAGGACAGAACAUUUUGUUUUUGUUAACACAGAUUAAUUGCAAAAUAAAUGAAUUCACUAUAUUAGGAGACUCUAACUUUGUAGAGUCUGUUAAAUAGAUUAGAUUUAAUAGACAAGGAAUUUUCCUACAGAAAUGCCUCAACAAAUACUUAUAAAUCAAUACAGUAAUCAUUCUAAUACUACUGUGACAUUUAUCACAAAAUUUUACUGUUUGUCAAAUACAUAAACACUGUAUAAUUAAAUGAACAAGGUGUUUCUUUCCCUGUUCCAUCUGCCAAUGAAAGAAUGAAUCUCUGAAAGAGGCUUUUCUUUCCAUGGAAACUUUAUAUAAUUCGCGUCUUUUUUACCUUAGAAUUAGCUCUAGAAAAAUACAGUCUGUUUUUUUUUCUAUUCACACACUGCUCGAACCAAACAACGAGCUUCUGAAUAAAAAUACAAUCUACUCAUGUUGGUUGGGCAGUGGCUGUUAAAUAG